rnacentral:rRNA from 1 species
UCCCGAAUAUAUAGGUAUACGCCAUGGUGUGGAAUCUUUGUUGGAGAUCCGGCCUAUACGCUGUGGGAGUUAUGCCUCAAGGCACGACGGUAGCGCCUUGAAGGGUACCGGCCACUUGGACUGGAACCCGACCUAGUCCUACGGGAGGCAGCCAGUGGGAUAUGCACAAUGGCGCCAAGCUUGAUGCCAGCGACCCGGCGUGAGGAUGACUGCUUUCGGUUGUAACCUUUCUCAGUAGGGAAGAAGCGAAAGUGACGGUACUGCAGAAGAAGCGCCGCUAACUACGUGCCAGCAGGCGCGGUAAUACGUAGGGCCGCAAGCGGUUAUCCGGAAUUAUGGGCGUAAAGAGCUCGUAGGCGGUUGUCGCGUCUGCCGUGAAAGUCCCGGGCUCAACUCCGGAUCUGCGGUGGGUACGGGCAGACUAGAGUGAUGUAGGGGAGACUGGAAUUCCUGGUGUAGCGGUGAAAUGCGCAGAUAUCAGGAGGAACACCGAUGGCGAAGGCAGGUCUCUGGGCAUUAACUGACGCUGAGGAGCGAAAGCAUGGGGAGCGAACAGGAUUAGAUACCUGGUAGUCCAUGCCGUAAACGUUGGGCACUAGGUGUGGGGGACAUUCCACGUUUUCCGCGCCGUAGCUAACGCAUUAAGUGCCCCGCCUGGGGAGUACGGCCGCAAGGCUAAAACUCAAAGGAAUUGACGGGGGCCCGCACAAGCGGCGGAGCAUGCGGAUUAAUUCGAUGCAACGCGAAGAACCUUACCAAGGCUUGACAUGAACCGGAAAGACCUGGAAACAGGUGCCCCGCUUGCGGUCGGUUUACAGGUGGUGCAUGGUUGUCGUCAGCUCGUGUCGUGAGAUGUUGGGUUAAGUCCCGCAACGAGCGCAACCCUCGUUCUAUGUUGCCAGCACGUGAUGGUGGGGACUCAUAGGAGACUGCCGGGGUCAACUCGGAGGAAGGUGGGGACGACGUCAAAUCAUCAUGCCCCUUAUGUCUUGGGCUUCACGCAUGCUACAAUGGCCGGUACAAAGGGUUGCGAUACUGUGAGGUGGAGCUAAUCCCAAAAAGCCGGUCUCAGUUCGGAUUGGGGUCUGCAACUCGACCCCAUGAAGUCGGAGUCGCUAGUAAUCGCAGAUCAGCAACGCUGCGGUGAAUACGUUCCCGGGCCUUGUACACACCGCCCGUCAAGUCACGAAAGUUGGUAACACCCGAAGCCGGUGGCCUAACCCCUUGUGGGAGGGAGCCUGUUC